rnacentral:rRNA from 1 species
UAUAACGGUCCUAAGGUAGCGAAAUUCCUUGUCAGGUAAAUUCUGACCCGCACGAAUGGCGUAACGACUUGGGCGCUGUCUCAACGAGAGAUCCGGUGAAAUUUUAAUACCUGUGAAGAUGCAGGUUACCCGCGACAAGACGGAAAGACCCCAUGGAGCUUUACUGUAACUUAAUAUUGAAUUUGGGUAGGAUCUGUACAGGAUAGGUGGGAACCUUUGAGACAUGAGCGCCAGCUUGUGUGGAGGUGACGUUGGGAUACCACCCUGAUCCUACCUAGGUUCUAACCUAUGCCCCUGAAUCGGGGCAAGGGACCGUGUUAGGUGGACAGUUUGACUGGGGCGGUCGCCUCCUAAAGUGUAACGGAGGCGCCCCAAGGUUCCCUCAGAAUGGUUGGAAAUCAUUCGAAGAGUGCAAAGGCAUAAGGGAGCUUGACUGCGAGACCAACAAGUCGAGCAGGGACGAAAGUCGGGCUUAGUGAUCCGGUGGUUCCGAAUGGAAGGGCCAUCGCUCAACGGAUAAAAGCUACCCUGGGGAUAACAGGCUUAUCUCCCCCAAGAGUCCACAUCGACGGGGAGGUUUGGCACCUCGAUGUCGGCUCAUCGCAUCCUGGGGCUGAAGUAGGUCCCAAGGGUUGGGCUGUUCGCCCAUUAAAGCGGUACGCGAGCUGGGUUCAGAACGUCGUGAGACAGUUCGGUCCCUAUCUGUCGUGGGCGCAGGAAAUUUGAGAGGAGCUGUCCUUAGUACGAGAGGACCGGGAUGGACGUUCCGCUGGUGUACCAGUUGUUCCGCCAGGAGCAUCGCUGGGUAGCCAAGAACGGACGGGAUAAGCGCUGAAAGCAUCUAAGCGUGAAGCCCCCCUCAAGAUGAGAUUUCCCAGUAUGUAAGACCCCUUGAAGACCACGAGG